rnacentral:lncRNA from 1 species
GCUACUUGGACGUGAGGCACUUGAAUGCACAAGGGCCGAUAUCCAAUAUCUUGAUUGGCUAGCUCCUUUAAGGUUCUUUCUCUUUGACCAGUAUCCAUCUCCUCAGUUUCUGAUGAAUCUGACAAGCACUCAAAUGAAGGAGCAAUUGAUCCAGUGAUCUCAGGUCCACUCUAGUGCCUCUCCUUCUUCAUCCCAUUCCUAGUUCUGCCAAUUUCUGGGUCCAGAGUAAGCAAAGGGCUAUAAUUGGCCCUGUUCAUACACUUUUAACUCUCACAAUUGGAUGAACACCCAUUAGUUUACAGUUUCAGAGAUAAAAAUUAUAAUCUAAAUAAAGUGCACUCUGAAUUAAGCCUAAACCUCAUCAACAAAUAUUGACUAAGCAUCCAGUAAUACACAAACAUAUUAAGCACCUACAACUUUCCACAACUUUCCAAAUAAAAGACCAAAACAACCCAAAAAAUGGAUAUCUACAUUGUUACAGCUUAAGAAACAGAUCCUUUGCUCACUAAAAAAAAAUUACAAAAAGAAGAAACAAAUUCUAACCUAAAAAGAAACAAAUAUGACACAAAACAAAAAUACAAACAAGAAAAAAAACAUAAACAAGACUAACCUAACACUCUAAGACUUAACUCGCCGAGUCCCCGACAACGACGCCAUUUGUUCAACUGCCUUUUAGUCGCCUAAGGCAAAACAAAGAACUGGUCCCCACUAAUGUAGCAUAGGGAUGACCAGAGUAUCAAUCCUAGGACUCAGCUAAUUAAGGUUAAAGUGUAUAGGUAAGGUCUUGUGUUUAUUUACUACUUAUUUACUAUUAAACUAGGUGGGGACAAUUAAAAUGAAUGAAACUAAAAAGGAAAAAUAAAAAUCUAAACUAAAAUCUGUUUAAAAGAAUAAAGAAAUGUAAAUGCAAUAAAAAAAAAAGAAAAGAAAAGUCUAAACUAUUCAAAACAGAAACAAAAUCUAAUUCUAAAAGAAUGCAUUAAUGAUAAUGGUCUCAAAACCGUUAUUUUCAUACAUUAGUUUGACAUAAAAAC